ensembl:snRNA U2 U2 spliceosomal RNA
AUCGCUUCUCGGCCUUUUGGCUAAGAUCAAGUGUAGUAUCUGUUCUUAUCAGUAUCGUGAGUGGCAGACCCUCCAGGAUUUUUAUGAAACAUGUGCAGAGUGGUGGGAAACGGUUAAAGAAAGGACACAGCUUUU